GUGGGGAAUAUUGGACAAUGGGCGAAAGCCUGAUCCAGCCAUGCCGCGUGAGUGAUGAAGGCCUUAGGGUUGUAAAGCUCUUUCAGUGGGGACGAUAAUGACGGUACCCACAGAAGAAGCCCCGGCUAACUUCGUGCCAGCAGCCGCGGUAAUACGAAGGGGGCUAGCGUUGUUCGGAUUUACUGGGCGUAAAGCGCACGUAGGCGGAUCGUUAAGUCGGGGGUGAAAUCCUGGAGCUCAACUCCAGAACUGCCUUCGAUACUGGCGAUCUUGAGUCCGGAAGAGGUGAGUGGAACUCCUAGUGUAGAGGUGGAAUUCGUAGAUAUUAGGAAGAACACCAGUGGCGAAGGCGGCUCACUGGUCCGGUACUGACGCUGAGGUGCGAAAGCGUGGGGAGCAAACAGGAUUAGAUACCCUAGUAGUCC
rnacentral:rRNA from 1 species